rnacentral:misc_RNA from 1 species
CUUCAAGAACUAUUCUAAGUUCUACAAGAAGAUCUCUCUUUAUGAGAUAUACCAUUUAAACUUAUCUCAAAUCUCAAUUCUGGUCCAAAGAUGAGUAUUUAUUUCUUGUAAAGAUGAGAAAAGGACAAUAAACUGCCAGGAAAGUAAUAGAACACAGUGGAUGCCACCAAGAGCUGAGAUGGGGUCCAAGUCCAACCACUAUGGAGCCUUUUUUAGGCACUUUAUUGCCAGUUUAAAAUUUCUCGAUAAAGUCGUAA